UUUAUACGGAGAGUUUGAUCCUGGCUCAGGACGAACGCUGGCGGCGUGCUUAACACAUGCAAGUCGAACGGUCUACCUCGACAGAAACCUUCGGGUUGAAGACGAGAUCUAGAUAGUGGCGGACGGGUGAGUAACACGUGAAUAAUCUAUCCUCAAGUUUGGGAUAACCUGGCG
rnacentral:rRNA from 1 species